rnacentral:rRNA from 1 species
CUAGAGUUUGAUCCUGGCUCAGGACAAACGCUGGCGGCGCGCCUAACACAUGCAACUCGAGCGAGAACCAACCCUUCGGGGUUGGGGACAGCGGCGAACGGGUGAGUAACACGUGGGUAACCCACCCUCGGUUCUGGGAUAGCCCGGGGAAACCCGGAUUAAUACCGGAUGGCCCAACAGCCCUUCGGGGCGGUUGGAAAAGGUAGCUUCGGCCUCCGACCAAGGACGGGCCCGCGGCGGAUUAGCUUGUUGGUGGGGUAACGGCCCACCAACGCGACGAUCCCUAGCUGGUCUGACAGGACGAUCAACCCCACUGGGAGUGAGACACGCCCCCCACUCGUAGCGGACGCACAAGAGCCGAAUCUUACAAUAUUGGAAUUAAAUCUCACAAUUCAAUAUUGAAUAGAAUUGAAAUGGAAAUUCAAUCAAG